rnacentral:lncRNA from 1 species
GCAGUAUCUUCUCUUUCUUGGGUAGCUUCUUCGCAAAUGGAGUGACAUACUCGGGGAAACUGAAGGGAACUUCAACAUAAAAUUCGCCCUUGCUAAAUUGUGAUUUCUGCAUCCAACUAGCUUUAAUUGAGAGUAUGGUACCCCCAUCAACCUAGCAAGACAGCAGAAGAGAAGAGAGUUCCUGAAUCUGUUCUGCAAUAUCAUAAAAGAUGAUGCAAAAAAGCAAAGGAAACAUUUCACUGCAGAUCAAACAUACAAGAAAGAAGGGGG